GACGAACGCUGGCGGCGUGCUUAACACAUGCAAGUCGAACGGAAAGGCCCCUUUGGGGGUACUCGAGUGGCGAACGGGUGCGUAACACGUGAGUAACCUGCCCUUGACUUCGGGAUAACUUCAGGAAACUGGGGCUAAUACCGGAUAGGAAUCCUUGCUGCAUGGUGGGGGUUGGAAAGCUUCGGCGGUUUUGGAUGGACUCGCGACUUAUCAGCUUGUUGGUGGGGUAGUGGCUUACCAAGGCUUUGACGGGUAGCCGGCCUGAGAGGGCGACCGGCCACAUUGGGACUGAGAUACGGCCCAGACUCCUACGGGAGGCAGCAGUGGGGAAUAUUGCACAAUGGGCGGAAGCCUGAUGCAGCAACGCCGCGUGCGGGAUGACGGCCUUCGGGUUGUAAACCGCUUUCAGCAGGGGCGAAGCUUGUGGUGACGGUACCUGCAGAAGAAGCACCGGCUAACUACGUG
rnacentral:rRNA from 1 species